rnacentral:rRNA from 1 species
GCUUCUUUCCUCCCGAGUGCUUGCACUCAAUUGGAAAGAGGAGUGGCGGACGGGUGAGUAACACGUGGGUAACCUACCCAUCAGAGGGGGAUAACACUUGGAAACAGGUGCUAAUACCGCAUAACAGUUUAUGCCGCAUGGCAUAAGAGUGAAAGGCGCUUUCGGGUGUCGCUGAUGGAUGGACCCGCGGUGCAUUAGCUAGUUGGUGAGGUAACGGCUCACCAAGGCCACGAUGCAUAGCCGACCUGAGAGGGUGAUCGGCCACACUGGGACUGAGACACGGCCCAGACUCCUACGGGAGGCAGCAGUAGGGAAUCUUCGGCAAUGGACGAAAGUCUGACCGAGCAACGCCGCGUGAGUGAAGAAGGUUUUCGGAUCGUAAAACUCUGUUGUUAGAGAAGAACAAGGACGUUAGUAACUGAACGUCCCCUGACGGUAUCUAACCAGAAAGCCACGGCUAACUACGUGCCAGCAGCCGCGGUAAUACGUAGGUGGCAAGCGUUGUCCGGAUUUAUUGGGCGUAAAGCGAGCGCAGGCGGUUUCUUAAGUCUGAUGUGAAAGCCCCCGGCUCAACCGGGGAGGGUCAUUGGAAACUGGGAGACUUGAGUGCAGAAGAGGAGAGUGGAAUUCCAUGUGUAGCGGUGAAAUGCGUAGAUAUAUGGAGGAACACCAGUGGCGAAGGCGGCUCUCUGGUCUGUAACUGACGCUGAGGCUCGAAAGCGUGGGGAGCAAACAGGAUUAGAUACCCUGGUAGUCCACGCCGUAAACGAUGAGUGCUAAGUGUUGGAGGGUUUCCGCCCUUCAGUGCUGCAGCAAACGCAUUAAGCACUCCGCCUGGGGAGUACGACCGCAAGGUUGAAACUCAAAGGAAUUGACGGGGGCCCGCACAAGCGGUGGAGCAUGUGGUUUAAUUAGG